GACGAACGCUGGCGGCGUGCUUAACACAUGCAAGUCGAACGGUAAGGCCCUUCGGGGUACACGAGUGGCGAACGGGUGAGUAACACGUGGGUGAUCUGCCCUGCACUUCGGGAUAAGCCUGGGAAACUGGGUCUAUUACCGGAUAGGACCACUGCCUGCAUGGGCGGUGGUGGAAAGCUUUUGCGGUGUGGGAUGGGCCCGCGGCCUAUCAGCUUGUUGGUGGGGUGAUGGCCUCCCAAGGCGACGACGGGUAGCCGGCCUGAGAGGGUGACCGGCCACACUGGGACUGAGAUACGGCCCAGAGUCCUACGGGAGGCAGCAGUGGGGAAUAUUGCACAAUGGGCGCAAGCCUGAUGCAGCGACGCCGCGUGAGGGAUGACGGCCUUCGGGUUGUAAACCUCUUUCAGCACCGACGAAGCGCAAGUGACGGUAGGUGCAGAAGAAGGACCGGCCAACUACGUGCCAGCAGCCGCGGUAA
rnacentral:rRNA from 1 species